UACGAGGGGGGCAAGCGUUGUUCGGAUUUAUUGGGCGUAAAGGGUGCGUAGGCGGUCUGGCAAGUCUUGUGUGAAAUCUUCGGGCUCAACCCGAAGUCUGCACAAGAAACUGCCGGGCUUGAGUAUGGGAGAGGUGAGUGGAAUUUCCGGUGUAGCGGUGAAAUGCGUAGAUAUCGGGAGGAACACCUGUGGCGAAAGCGGCUCACUGGACCACAACUGACGCUGAGGCGCGAAAGCUAGGGGAGCAAACAGG
rnacentral:rRNA from 1 species